rnacentral:lncRNA from 1 species
AGAGAUUGAUACCUUGCACGCCAGCCAACUCUUCGUGGUUUGGCCGGAAAUUGUCUUGAAAGUGGCGGUCUGCGUCAGAGCUCGUGUACAGGGCUUCAUGGUUCGACUUCCAAGAUGCCAAGACUAUGGUUGAGUUCGUAGCGACGAAAUAAAGACGAUGGUGAUGUUUGUUGGUAAGAAAAGCCCUCGGAGGGGUUGAGAUAGAGAGAGCCGAGAGAGUGUAAGGGAGAGUGAGGGAGAAGAGAGAAAGAGGAAGACUUUUCAGAAAAAUAAAAGAAAAAGGAAAAGGAACCGGGGGACAAAACAGGGGGUGGGCCCCUUGGGCACACCAUUUAAGACCCAAAAAUCAUUUUAAAAGCAAGAUAAUCUCAAACUUAGUGAAAAUACAAUUUAAAUUAGGGGUGGGUGUAACAAUCUACCCCCUUAAAAGAAUUUCGUCCCCGAAAUUUAAAAUAACAUACUACAUUGAAAAUACUCGAAAAUAGGAAAAAGAAUAAUAUACAUAUAUGUAACGAAGAGAUCAGGUAAGAACGGUUGAACAAAAGGGAAAAUGCCACACCGUCGCGAUCGGUUGCAAUGAUUUCAUCUUUCGUCCUUCCAGGCUCAUACUUUCUUUCCCCAUCAGUGUAAUAGUAGAAAUCAUACUUUAUAAAGAUAUAAAGUUGAAAACAUAUAUUGAAGUAAGGUCAAAAAUGAGUACGCAAAAUACUAUAGCGUCAAAAAUAGACACGCCCCGACCUUGAUAUUCCCCGAAUACCAGGAUAGACACGUGCUGGCCGAUACCCGAGGGUGACGAAAGCCAUUAAUUGAUACAAAAGCUAAGAAUAAGAAAUAAAUAAGGGUUAUGAGUUUAAAAUACAAUGAAUUAAAAAUUUAGGAAUGUGUUCAGAGCAUACAACUAACUAAAGUUUUAAAAGAAUUAAUAUAAGAUUUAAUAAAUAACGGAUGUGGGUCCUAUACCGAGAGGACUCGAAUAUGCCAAAGCGAAGACGUUGACGUAGGGAUCGUAUGCCUCGAUUCUAAAUCCUGAAAGGGGGCGCAAAACAAGGGUGAGUGGACCAAGUUCAUAUAUAUAUACAUAAAACGAAAAUAGUUAUGAACAUACUAACCCCCAUGUUUAUAUAUAAUGAAAACUACUAACAUAAUAAGUGAUAGAUUUAAUAAAAAUCCUAGCAUGCCAAAAAUAUCUCAAAAGUCAUAUCGCGGAAAUAAAAACGGUAAACGUGUCAUAGAUCGUCUCGUAAGCGCGGUGUGCUGCUAGUAAGAUCACUGAAUAAUAAUAAUAACUUCCGGCCCAAUGCCUACACCUAACUCUCUGUGCCCGUAGCCAGAGAUAACUCCCUCCCGGCCCAAUGCCUCUCUCCGUGUCCCUCAGCCUUUCGCUAGGGAUUAUCUCUCCCGGCUUAACUGCCAACACCAAAUCCUCGCCCCAGGCGUCAUAGUGUCCACUAGGUACGCACAAAUGGUUACGCCUCUCAUAAAUAACCACUUCAUAGUAUAAAGUCAUCCAUCGUCUAUACUAUAAAGAGGGGUUUCGAAAACAUGUUCUAGCAUCCUAUCGUCAUCCAUCAGAUAGUCUACCAAUUCAUGGUUUUUAUAGAAAAUACGAUAUAUUAAAAUAUAGCUCAAUAUAGGCUAACAAUUAAUUUCUCACCAAAAACACGGGACGAAAAUCAACAUAUUCAAUAAACAUGCUUAACAUAAAAUCAAAACAUAAACUCGUAAGGCAUGCUAUUCAUUUAUGCAAUUGAACUAUAAAAUCAUGUAAUGUCAAAUGUCAAAAAAAAACUGCGCCACUAGCGAAGACGGAAGUGUCACAACCAACGUUUACUUGUUUUCUCCAACAUGCAUGUCAAAUGUCUUAAGUAGUUUCCACAUAGAUGUGACCUU